UACAGAGGGGGCAAGCGUUGUUCGGAAUUACUGGGCGUAAAGGGCGCGUAGGCGGCCUGCUAAGUCGAACGUGAAAUCCCCGGGCUCAACCCGGGAACUGCGUCCGAGACUGGAAGGCUUGAAUCCGGGAGAGGGAUGUGGAAUUCCAGGUGUAGCGGUGAAAUGCGCAGAUAUCAGGAGGAACACCGGUGGCGAAGGCGGGUCUCUGGGCAGUAACUGACGCUGAGGAGCGAAAGCGUGGGGAGCGAACAGG
rnacentral:rRNA from 1 species